CAACAACAUGUUUGGAUCUAUAAUACAGGGUUUUGGGAUUUUUUGUUGGCCUAUACUAUGUACACAUUCCUAUAUUAAAUGUAUAUUCAUAGCCCACAUGCAGUAGUCUAAUUCCCUGGUUGUUCCCCCAACAACAUGUUUGGAUGCUAUAAUAGCUUGAGAAGUGUAACCAUGGAAGCCUAAUAAUAGCUAGUACAUGCAUGCAUGAUUUUAUCACAACAUGCAUGCAGUACACUGGUAAAUAGUUAAAUGUGCGUACAGUAAGGGAUACCCCUCUCACGUGUAGACUCCGAUAACAACUCCACUGGGAGUAGUGAGCGUCACCAUGCAUGUAUAUAUAGUAUGAUGUUUGCUUGAGAGAUGUUAUGGCUCCUUGGAUAUGAUCACAGCGAUACAAUGUUCCUUAAGAGCUAGCGACAUUUAAUGUCUCUUAUCUCUAUUUUCUGGCUUGAUUGUAUAUAAUUUUUAGUGCAGCUUUGAUUGGUGUCCUAUAGCUUGCUGGUGAUCGAUUUACACUGUGUUAUGAGUUGCAGGUUGCCUGCAUGUAAAGACUACUCUAUGUCUAACCACAAACGGCCACAACUAUAUAGCUGAACACAUACAUGCACGUACCUAACCCCUAAGCCACCGGCAUAACCAUGCUCUCCUCACACAGGCUGCCUAUAAUGAUACCCUAAUCACAUACCGAUGCUUUUCUCACACAGGCUCUACUAUAUAGAGAGUGCUGUAUAGAGAGGGUGCUGGAGGGAAAUUUCCUACCUCUGGUAGUCUUGGCUAACAAACCUUAGACACUAGUUGAUAAGAUCUACAUGGGAAGUACAUGGGAAAAGUGCCUCAGAGCAGGUAUACUAUGGGACUUAGUAUACCUGCAAAUUUACUUAGUAUAUCUAGUAUUCCGUUGUCAAGUAAUUGUAUUGUAGUCAAGCAGUUUGCGCAUGCGCACUAGUAUCUAAAUGAGUUAGACACUGUUUUGUCGGUGUCCAUGUGAUUUAGAAGCCCUCAGCCACUUUAGUACCCUCGCUACGCUCGGGAUACUAAAUCAGUGCCUUUGGGCUUCUAAAUCCCAUAGACACCUCCAAAACAGUGUCUAACUAUUAUGUAAUACAUCAACCUGGCUAAUAUAUGUGAUCACCAAGUUGAUGGUGUCCUGUUCUGCCAGACAAGGCAGCUAGACAGAAGGAGUGUGUCCCUGCUAACGAGACUGCCAUUUCUUCACUGCCGAUGGUCGUCACAAGCUCUACUCUGCUUACUGCACACAGUGUCUCACGGUAGAGUGAUGCAUGGGGCUAUACUGUUGGUACACAGUGUCAAGAAUGAAGUGGACACAGCUCUAAAAGUGACAGGGACUACUUUUUUGUAAUGUCCGACUUUUAAAAUUAUACACAUCCUAGCUCUUUAUCAUAAUUACGUGAUGCACUUACAAUCAGUACGAAUAAUGCUUUUACAACUGACUUGUGUGUGCAUUUUUCCUAGCUAAACUUUGUACCCUCAUGAAUUGAUUGCAUGUCUCAUGCAGGGAGCCUGCCUCAAUGUUCACAGCCAGUCCCUUCCUUGUAUGGGGAGAGUUUGGGUCCAAUACUCAACAAGAUAUUCACCCUCUCACCUGACACACAACUCAUGUAGGAAAUGGACAGGUGGAGCACAUAAAUUAUUCUUACCAGAGUGACGAUGAUAAUUUAUGGUCCCUAUAUAGGGUUGAUAGCCGCCUUGAACUUUUCUGAGAUACCUACAUAUAAUUAUACUGAUAAGAGAUACACAAGAGAAAAACAAGCUGUAACGCUCAAUUAAUUAAUGUGUAUAACUGGUGUGGGGUAUCCGGUCACACUAGCUUUGUGGCCCCAGUCAGACAACUACUUACCAGCACUAGCACUAAGAUGGUGUGUCGACAAGAAAUGGAGGUUGCACUGAGAGAGGAAAAAAGUCAAAAGGCAAUUGCAAAAGACAGGCCAGAGGUGUGUGUAGGGGAGACACUACCCAAGCUGUCAGAGAAGGAAGAGCUACAUGCAGGCUAGAGAUGCUGGAGGUGGCAGGUAACCACAUGGACACGUUGGAGAGUAUACUAAGAGUCAGAGUGGUGAACACAUCUCUAUAAUAAUAAUAUUAUCUACUUAUUAUUGCUGCUUGGAUGUACAAACUGGAAUCGUGAUUCACCAUAAUUAUUUAGAACUUCUCACGAC